rfam:Fonsecaea multimorphosa CBS 102226 unplaced genomic scaffold supercont1.2, whole genome shotgun sequence.
GAGAGGUUGGCCGAGUGGUUCAAGGCGGUAGAUUUAAGUUAUUUUCCUUAUAAGACUUGAAAUCCUCUACUUUCCGAAAGGAAGCGUGGGUUCGAACCCCACACCUCUCA